rnacentral:rRNA from 2 species
UACGUAGGGGGCAAGCGUUGUCCGGAUUUAUUGGGCGUAAAGAGCUCGUAGGCCGUUCGGUAAGUCAGAUGUGAAAACUCCAGGCUCAACUUGGAGACGCCAUCUGAUACUGCCGUGACUUGAGUCCGGUAGGGGAGCACGGAAUUCCUGGUGUAGCGGUGAAAUGCGCAGAUAUCAGGAGGAACACCAGCGGCGAAGGCGGUGCUCUGGGCCGGUACUGACGCUGAGGAGCGAAAGCGUGGGGAGCGAACAGG